rnacentral:rRNA from 1 species
UACGGAGGGGGCUAGCGUUGUUCGGAAUUACUGGGCGUAAAGCGCACGUAGGCGGAUUGGAAAGUCAGAGGUGAAAUCCCAGGGCUCAACCUUGGAACUGCCUUUGAAACUCCCGAGUCUGAGUUCGAGAGAGGUGAGUGGAAUUCCGAGUGUAGAGGUGAAAUUCGUAGAUAUUCGGAGGAACACCAGUGGCGAAGGCGGCUCACUGGCUCGAUACUGACGCUGAGGUGCGAAAGCGUGGGGAGCAAACAGG